UAUGGUUCUUCAAAUAAUUACGCAAGCUUAUAUAUUUAUCAUUGGUUGGGAAAGGAGGGCGUGAUUCAGUUUAAAAAAGACGCAUUUAAAUUCCCAUAAAAUGCGCGAAAAUCCCGGCAGAAAAUCAGUAAAACGUACACCAUUAAAUCGAGACUUAGUUACUGGCGUGCCAUAGUGGUACUUUCUGGGGAUACCUAUGCUAAAAUAAAUCACUUUCCACAGAGUUUCCAUUUACAAUUGCAUGCAGCGAUCCAAUCAAAAUGUUUGUUAGAAAAAUCUCUUUACGUCUCAGGUCGGCCAGAUUUUCUGCGUUCUGUAGUUGAUGAGAAUUAUACAAAUCAGAAAUCUAUUGACGAUUUCAACCAGUAAAAAUGUGAAUUUUAUUUUCGGCCGGGUAUCGUUAGAAAGGUAUAUCUAUUAGUAUAAGCCACGAGUAGUUCUUGUUUGAUUUGCAUUUGAAAUUAAUAGUGCAAAGCAUGGUGAAAAAGACCACUGUCGGAACAACUGCCAAAGGGUGACAAAAAUGGCUGACGUCGCAGAAGUUUUUAUGUUUGACAUUUUAUUAAUCGUAACAGUAGCAACGGAAUGAAUUCGAUUUCGAAUAUAAUUCAGUAAACAAAAAAGAUUUGAAUUGCAUUACAUUUUCAUUCCUCUAUUUCUUUAUAGAAAAUUACGGUAAGUUGAAAUGUUGCGCGUUUUUGAUGCAUCAGAGUAUGCACUUUUUGUUGAUAUUUUCAUUGAAAUUAAAAAGCCCCAUUGAAUCUAAAAAUCCCCUAUUAAUUUCAGGGCCAAGGGGGGAUUUUUCACAUUGCAAAAAUUUCUUUCCCAACUGAUUUAUCAAAUGUUAUAUGGAUUAUUAAAACACUGUUCACUGUGAUCAUAUGAUAUAUGUUUCACACAGAUUAUGUAAUUAUACUUUGCUUUUUCACAAAGUUGUGCUCUUUGUAUUUGUUUUAAGUUGUUGCAUGUCAGUUUGUGUCUCAGUAACGCAUGUUUGAAUGGAUUGAAACUUCACACUUGUGUGCUUUGUGAUGGCCUGACAUGCUUCACAUAUCACAUAGCUCAAUUUUGCUUUUGCACAAAGAAACAUCCCUCUCUUUUUUUCCCACGUGAUGUUUACAUUGCAUUAAGAUGAUAUCUCAGUAACAACUCAAUUAAAAUGGAUUUAACUACAGACUUGUGUACUUUAAUUAUGUGAUAAGCAUUGUAUAGAAUCCACAAUUUUUGGCUUGUCUGAUUUUCGAAAAAACACUACAAGGUGCCGUCGCUUGAUCGUCGGCAUCUGCAUUGGUUAAAUUUUUUGUUUAGGUCCACAUUUUCUCAAAAACUGUAAGAGCUACAGCUUUGAAACUUUGCACACUUGUUUAUCAUCAUUAGGUGACUAUGUAUGCGAAGAACCAUAACUCGAACCUGCAUUUUUUCAGAAUUAUGGCCCUUUUUAUGCCCCGAAGGGAGGCAUAUUAGUUUUCAACUGUCCGUCCGUUCGUCCGUCACAACGUUAACUUUUUGCAUGAUGGCACUUUACUCGCGAACCAGUGCACCCAGGACCUUCAAACUUCACAUGCUGAUAGUACUUACUGAGUACACCACCCCUACAGACUUUGGGGUCAAUGGUCAAGGUCACGGGCAAACAUUAACUUUUUGCAUGAAGGCACUUUAGUCGCGAACCACUCUACCCAGGCCCUUCAGACUUAACAUGCUGAUAGUACUUAUUGAGUACACCACACCUACUGACUUUGGGGUCACCAGGUCAAAGGUCAAGGUGCUGCGGGGGCAUUUGUCACCAUUAGUGACAGCUCUUGUUUUUCUUAGAAAUUCUGAACUAUAAGUCUUUCCUUGCAUACUGUCUAGCACUUGCAGACAAGCGAUGGCACCCGUAGGCAGGCUCUUAUUUCUUUGUCACAAAGUUAUGACCCUUUUGUCGACCACCAUUUGUGGGUAACAAUUUCUGUAACUGUUGCUGUCUUCCCACAGCUCUUGUUACUUAGUAGGAUGUUGAUGCCCUUUCUGAGUUGUGCAACUGGCAUGGGUGGUCCUGUCAUUUGAGCCAAUUUAGUGUUCACAUCAAGUUUGAUUUUAAAUUUAACCGUUCAUAAGUCUUUUUUAGCUCAUCUGAUUUUUUGAAAAGAAAUGAUGAGUUAUUGUCAUCACUUGAGCGGUUGUCGGCGUCGGCGUUGCCUGGUUAAGUUUUAUGUUUAGGUCAGCUUUUCUCCUAAACUAUCAAAGCUAUUGCUUUGAAACUUUGAAUACUUGUUCACCAACAUAAGCUGACCCUGUAUAGCAAGAAACAUAACUUCAUCUUGCUUUUUGCAAGAUUUAUGGCCCCUUUUGUACUUAAAAAAAAUACCAGAUUUCUUGGUUUAGUUUAUGUUUAGGUCAACUUUUCUCCUAAACUAUCAAAGCUAUUGCUUUGAAACUUGGAAUACUUGUUCACCAUCAUAAGCAGACCCUGUACAUCAAGAAACAUAACUCCAUCUUGCUUUUUGCAAGAUUUAUUGCCCCUUUUGGACUUAGAAAAUCAGUUUUCUUGGUUAAGUUUUAUGUUUAGGUCAGAUUUUAUCCUAAACUAUCAAAGCUAUUGCUAUAAAACUUGCAACACUUGUUCACCAUCCUAAGUUGACCCUGUACAGCAAGCAACAUAACUCCAUCCUGCUUUUUGCAAGAUUUAUGGCACCAUUUGGACUUAGAAAAUAUCAGAUUUCUUGGUUAAGUUUUAUGUUUAGGUCAACUUUUUCUCUUAAACUAUCAAAGCUAUUGCUUUGAAACUUGCAACACUUGUUGACCAUCAUAAGCUGACCCUGUACAGCAAGCAACAUAACUCCAUCCUGCUUUUUGCAAUAAUUAUUGCCCCUUUUGGACUUAGAAAAUCAUUUUCUUGGUUGAGUAUUAUGUUUAAGUCAACUUUUCUCAUAAACUAUCAAAGCUAUUGCUUUAAAACUUGCAACAGUUUUUCACCAUCAUAAGUGGACACUGAACAUCAAGAAACAUAACUCUAUCCUGCUUUUUGCAAGAAUGAUGGCCCUUUUUAGACUUAGAAAAUCAUGGGUAGGACAAUAUUUCUAUUACACAAAAAAAAUCAGGUGAGCGUCAGCACCCGCAAGGCGGUGCUCUUGUUUUACUGCUAUUUUAGAGAAAAAUAUUGAUAAGAUAUGGAACAUUUUAUUUAUCAUCUUACUUUUAACAGUUCAUAGUAUAUGCACGAAGCAAAUAUUGCCAAAGAAACCCAAACUGAUAGGCUACCAGACAAAAAUAUUAGUAGCCCGCAAAUGAAUGUGCAGAUUCCUGAAACCCUGCAUGAAUGAAUAGCUUGAAUGUUUAACGCAAACAUUGUGUUUUAAUGUUCUGC